UAAAUACAUUACUAAAUCCUGUUUAAUGCAAACAUUAGAUUAUUUAUACUUGUAUGUGCAUCUUAAAGCUUUAUUGUUUCUUAACUUUGAUUCAAGGAAGGUUUUAACAUUAAAUUAUUAUAACUUGUGUAGGUAUCCGUUAACAGCUUUGUUGUUUUUUACCCUAAGACUGGAGCACAUCAAUGUUUCCGAAACAAAGAUUCUUUAUCCGUCUGAAAAGACAUGUGCAGUUCAGCAGCUAGACACUGGUGACAAGGAGUCGGAAAAAGAAAACGGAGUCCAACGUACCAUUUUAUCAGAAUACACAGAGAAGUCAGACAUUGGACUAAUCCAGAUUUCAGAAAACAUCCAUCAACACCAAAUUACCAAAGAUCUCCUUGAAGUCUCACAAGCAUGUAGGGCCAAAUCAACAGAGGCUCAGGUGUUAAAUCAAGAGGUCAACCCAAACAUUUCUAUACAAAUCGUUGAGUCUUCAAAGACAGACAUCAGCACAGAAAUGAAAAGCAUUGGCAGUCAAACAGAGGAGAGCCUCUGUACACACAGCGGCCGAGCAGCAUCUGAGCUGCACUGCGUGUUCACACAGACGGAGGAGGAGGAAGAACACAUGGAGGACUCCCCGCCGCUCUCUCCUGGCCCAUUAUCUGAGGCAGCAGAGCCAGGCGACAAAAUGCUGUUCGCAAGUUCUUUUCCCAUCCCGGCUGAUCCGGCCCGUCUAGCCGAAAGAAUCCGUCGUAACAGGACGCAGCUGUCAGCGGCCUUUGACGACACAGAGUAUGAACCCUAUGGGCUGCCGGAGGUGGUGAUGAAAGGGUUCGCUGACAUCCCCAGUGGCCCCUCCUGUCCCUACAUUGUGAGAAGAGGCUUAUUAGGGACAACUGUGGUACCAGCCUCUCAGAAGGAGCCAGAAGAAGAGGAGACGGAUUGAAACUUGGUUUUAUGCCCCAAGAACUACACUAUCAG
rnacentral:lncRNA from 1 species